AGCAAACUUAAGUCGAAGAUUCAUCAUUAGUUAAAUUAAAAAUCGAUAAAUAAUAAACCAAGUGGCUAAAUUAAUUGAUUUAUAAUCAUGUUAUAGAACUUGUGAUGACAGAAUUGUUUUUACGGAUGAGGGAAACGUUGUUUAUUUAAAAAAGAAAGUAAACCAUUAUACUUGACUUUUUAUUUAUGGAGAAACGAAUGAGUCUCUAAGAAAGCCGUAUGGCCUUUAUAACGUUUUGGAUUUAUAAUUUAUGAUAAAUUAUAACACAGUACAACACUCGGCUGAGUAUUAGACCAAAACAAUUUUUUUUCGAUAGAUACGCUUAUACAAAGGUAUAUGUGGAAUCUUUAUAAGAAAACCGAAUAACGAAGUUCUACGUCACUACUAUCUAAAAGAAGGUUGGGUUAAAAUUUAGUUUACAUCCGUAUGUGUAUCUAAAGUAUCGAUUUCGCAGCUUUAUUUUUAAUUUAUCAAUAAAUAUAAACAUAAUAAAUUUAUAUUGUUAAAUGUGUUAGAAGAAAGAAAAUGCUGAGAAAAUUAUUCCGAAUCAAAACAUUCGAAAAUACAGCUGUCAGUUACGCAUUCGCAUGUAAAAGAAUCUACUUAACCUCAUCAAUUAGAUGAAUGUGUUUUUUAGAGACAUCGAGGAACAUAUACGUGAUACAAAC